rnacentral:rRNA from 1 species
AGAGUUUGAUCCUGGCUCAGGAUGAACGCUGGCGGCGUGCCUAACACAUGCAAGUCGAGCGAUUCUCUUCGGAGAAGAGCGGCGGACGGGUGAGUAACGCGUGGGUAACCUGCCCUGUACACACGGAUAACAUACCGAAAGGUAUGCUAAUACGGGAUAACAUAUGAAAGUCGCAUGACUUUCAUAUCAAAGCUUUUGCGGUACAGGAUGGACCCGCGUCUGAUUAGCUAGUUGGUGAGGUAAUGGCUCACCAAGGCAACGAUCAGUAGCCGACCUGAGAGGGUGAUCGGCCACACUGGAACUGAGACACGGUCCAGACUCCUACGGGAGGCAGCAGUGGGGAAUAUUGCACAAUGGGCGAAAGCCUGAUGCAGCAACGCCGCGUGAGCGAUGAAGGCCUUCGGGUCGUAAAGCUCUGUCCUCAAGGAAGAUAAUGACGGUACUUGAGGAGGAAGCCCCGGCUAACUACGUGCCAGCAGCCGCGGUAAU